GGAUGUGAGGGUCAUCUGGCUGCGACAUCUGUCACCCCAUUGAUCACCAGGGUUGAUUCAGCUGAUCUGGCUGCCUAGGUGGGUGUCUCCUUCCUCCCUCAAUGCUCCAUGAGCAUCCCUCCCGAAGCUGUGCGCUCGGUCAAAGAGGACGACCACCCCGAUAGAGGAGGACCGUUUCUUGGUCAAGGGUAUACGAGUAGCUGCGCUCCCCUGCUAGAACCUCCAAACAAGCUCUCAAGAGACCUUGCCAGACCAGAAGCCAGAUCUCUCAAAAACUUUCAAUCAAAGAAGAGAUUCACAUU
rnacentral:snRNA from 1 species